rnacentral:rRNA from 1 species
UUUAGARKUUUAUCMUGGCUCAGGACGAACGCUGGCGGCGUGCCUAAUACAUGCAAGUCGAACGAACUCUGGUAUUGAUUGGUGCUUGCAUCAUGAUUUACAUUUGAGUGAGUGGCGAACUGGUGAGUAACACGUGGGAAACCUGCCCAGAAGCGGGGGAUAACACCUGGAAACAGAUGCUAAUACCGCAUAACAACUUGGACCGCAUGGUCCGAGUUUGAAAGAUGGCUUCGGCUAUCACUUUUGGAUGGYCCCGCGGCGUAUUAGCUAGAUGGUGRGGUAACGGCUCACCAUGGCAAUGAUACGUAGCCGACCUGAGAGGGUAAUCGGCCACAUUGGGACUGAGACACGGCCCAAACUCCUACGGGAGGCAGCAGUAGGGAAUCUUCCACAAUGGACGAAAGUCUGAUGGAGCAACGCCGCGUGAGUGAAGAAGGGUUUCGGCUCGUAAAACUCUGUUGUUAAAGAAGAACAUAUCUGAGAGUAACUGUUCAGGUAUUGACGGUAUUUAACCAGAAAGCCACGGCUAACUACGUGCCAGCAGCCGCGGUAAUACGUAGGUGGCAAGCGUUGUCCGGAUUUAUUGGGCGUAAAGCGAGCGCAGGCGGUUUUUUAAGUCUGAUGUGAAAGCCUUCGGCUCAACCGAAGAAGUGCAUCGGAAACUGGGAAACUUGAGUGCAGAAGAGGACAGUGGAACUCCAUGUGUAGCGGUGAAAUGCGUAGAUAUAUGGAAGAACACCAGUGGCGAAGGCGGCUGUCGGUCUGUAACKACGCKAGGYGAAAGKWUGKG